rnacentral:rRNA from 1 species
CCUACGGGUGGCAGCCGUGAGGAAUAUUGGUCAAUGGCCGGAAGGCUGAACCAGCCAAGCCGCGUGAAGGACGAAGGUGCCAAGCAUUGUAAACUUCUUUUGUCAAGGGACAAAAUCAGGCUCGAGAGCCUGACCGAGGUUACUUGAAGAAAAAGCAUCGGCUAACUCCGUUCCAGCCGCCGCGGUAAUACGGAGGAUGCGAGUGUUAUCCGGAUUUAUUGGGUUUAAAGUGUACGUAGGCGGGCUGUUAAGUCAGCGGUAAAAGCCCGGGGCUAAACCUCGGCGGGCCGUUGAUACUGGCUGUCUUGAGAUGUCGAGAGGUAUGCAGAAUGCGCAGUGUAGCGGUGAAAUGCGUAGAGAUGGCGAAGAACUCCGAUGGCGAAGGCAGCAUACUGGCGGCGAUCUGACGCUGAGGCACGAAAGCGUGGGUAGCGAACAGGAUUAGAUACCCGAGUAGUC